ensembl:lncRNA
AUGUCUGUUUCCAGCAGUACCAGACCCCCAUCGAUUCGGACCUCUGGGGUUCAGAGCCGCACGGUCCCGCAGACCGGCAGGCAGCCCAGCCCCGCUCACAGUGCGCACGGAGCAGUGACAGCCGCGGCUGCUUCUGCUGCUCGGGGACCGCCAGUGCGGACAAGCGGGCAGAGCCCCCGCCUGCGGCCCCGCACCGCUCUGCCCCAGGGACGCAACAGCUCACGGCUCCUGCUACCGAACGGCCCCGCAGGCUGCACCCACAACGACGAUGAGGUCAUGUUUCUUUAUUUAACCUUCUCGAUUUCCCCCUUCGGUCCCGCCAACCCCUCAGCACUACCGCCCCCCAGCCCACCCGUACCUGCCUUCCUCUCAGCCUCCACCGGCAUUAAGGGCACCCCGAGGGCAGCGACGUCAGGCGGGCGCUGCGCAUGUACCCGGGGGCGGUGUGUAUUGGCUGUUCAGUUUGAUGGACAGGGAGGCGCGGCGUGGGCGGGAAGGCCAGGGUUCCGCGCAGGCGCUGUUGGGCGGGCCGGGCGUGAGGGGUCUGUGCAGAGAGGAGCGUGGGUACGGCUGGGCUGGUGCCCGUGCUCUGCUUGCAGCUGGGCACUGAUGUGGGCUGUACAGACCCCGGCCGCCGAUCCCUCCUCUUCCAGUCACAGUACCGAGUCCGCCUCCCCGGCCCCGCCCGACAGCCUCCUCACGCCCUCCAGCCUCUGCAACAGCCUCAGCUCCGACUCGCUCCCGCCCGACAGCCUCCAAGCCUUCCCCGGCCUCGGCAGCGGUCGCGACUCGCCCAGCAUCCAGUGCGACAGCCUCGAGUGUCCCGGGUGCCGCUGCAGGAGCCUGGGCUCGGUCAGCCCCUGCGAGGACAGCCUGCAGACCCAGCUCGCGGCGUGUAAUGGUCCGGGGUGCUUCGGGGUGCACCGCUGCAGCCCUCACGCGUCCCGCGACUUCAGUGACAGCCUGGAGUCCUUCGGCGCCCAACACGACAGCCUCCAGUCCGUCCCCAGCCUGCACGAGAGUCUGCGGUCCUCCAGCGUCGCGGGUGACAGUCUUGACUCUCUUUCCAGCCUGAGCAACGGGUCCACCAGCCUCGAGUUCACCAGCCAGUGA